rnacentral:rRNA from 1 species
AUUGAACGCUGGCGGCAGGCCUAACACAUGCAAGUCGAUCGGAGCGGCGUCCGGGUGAGUAAUUUCUAGGAAUCUGCCUGGUCGUGGGGGAUAACUUCACGAAACCGGAGCUAAUCCCGCAUACUAUCGGAUUAGCCUCGAUCGGAUUAGCUAGCUGGUGGGGUAAAGGCUCACCAAGGCGACGAUCCGUAACUGGUUUUAGAGGACGACCAGUCACACUGGGACUGAGACACGGCCCAGACUCCUACGGGAGGCAGCAGUGGGGAAUAUUGGACAAUGGGAGAAAGCCUGAUGCAGCCAUGCCGCGUGUGCGAAGAAGGCCUUCGGAUUGUAAAGAACUUUAAGUUGGGAGGCGGUACCGACAGAAGAAGCACCGGCUAACUACGUGCCAGCAGCCGCGGUAAUAC